rnacentral:rRNA from 1 species
UACGUAGGGUGCAAGCGUUGUCCGGAAUUAUUGGGCGUAAAGAGCUCGUAGGCGGUCUGUCGCGUCUGCUGUGAAAACUCAGGGCUUAACCCUGAGCUUGCAGUGGGUACGGGCAGACUAGAGUGCGGUAGGGGAGACUGGAAUUCCUGGUGUAGCGGUGAAAUGCGCAGAUAUCAGGAGGAACACCGGUGGCGAAGGCGGGUCUCUGGGACGUGACUGACGCUGGAGAACGCGAAAGCGUGGGGAGCAAACAGG